GCAACAGCGUCCUGAGCCAGCCUUCUGAUUGGCGGAGCCAGCCUCGCUGCACGAGGAUUGGCCGAGUGCUGAGACACGCCCCCAUGCUCUUCUGAUUGGCGGGAGGAUCCGAAGCGGCGCUGCGAUUGGCCCGAAAGCCCCGUGUCCAGCGGGGGCGGAGGGCGAGGCCACGAUUCAGCCCCGGGAUCCCAUCGAUGGGUUCCCGCACGGGGUCAGAGAUAUAUUAGAAUUGCAAAAAGUAUAGAAAACGACUAAAAAAAAAAAGAUCAGGGGUAUGGAUCAGCUUCCGUAUGAAGACAGAGUAAAAAGAUUGGAAUUGUUCAGCUUAGAAAAAGACGACUAAGAAAAGCCUGCCUGACUUCAACACAGCCAGUCUAUUCCAGACACUGCCUUGCCAGGGAAAGGACUAUCAAUGACUGGACCAUCAAGGCCCAUCAACUUUGGAUGAUUCAAAGACUGGCCCAGUUCAGGUGCCAAUGGUUUUCUUCACUGGGCCUCACAGGGCAUGGGGUUGGAAUAUCCUAGACUGGGCACAUCGUCCAGAAGGGUCAAGACUAGGUUUAAGAGGAGUGUUCCUGGAGAAGGGCGGGCUGCCCACUGCCACACUCCACAAGACCAGGAUUGAAGGGAAGAAGGCGGUAGGGACUCGGCCUUGUCUGGAUCACUGACCAGAACUCAGUCUCGCAGGAUUGAGAUCAGACUGGAGGGCAGCUCAGGACGAUGGUUUUCACAGAUCUGUAACACUCCGCUGCUUUAAGAGUAAAGUGUCCGUGAUUAA